UUAUGAGAGUUUGAUCCUGGCUCAGGACGAACGCUGGCGGCGUGCCUAAUACAUGCAAGUCGAACGCCUCUUUUUCCACCGGAGCUUGCUCCAUCGGAAAAAGAGGAGUGGCGAACGGGUGAGUAACACGUGGGUAACCUGCCCAUCAGAAGGGGAUAACACUUGGAAACAGGUGCUAAUACCGUAUAACAAUCGAAACCGCAUGGUUUCGAUUUGAAAGGCGCUUUCGGGUGUCGCUGAUGGAUGGACCCGCGGUGCAUUAGCUAGUUGGUGAGGUAACGGCUCACCAAGGCGACGAUGCAUAGCCGACCUGAGAGGGUGAUUGGCCACAUUGGGACUGAGACACGGCCCAAACUCCUACGGGAGGCAGCAGUAGGGAAUCUUCGGCAAUGGACGAAAGUCUGACCGAGCAACGCCGCGUGAGUGAAGAAGGUUUUCGGAUCGUAAAACUCUGUUGUUAGAGAAGAACAAGGAUGAGAGUAACUGUUCAUCCCUUGACGGUAUCUAACCAGAA
rnacentral:rRNA from 1 species